AUUGAACGCUGGCGGCAGGCUUAACACAUGCAAGUCGAGCGGGGUGAUGGUGCUUGCACUAUCACUUAGCGGCGGACGGGUGAGUAACGCUUAGGAAUCUGCCUAUUAGUGGGGGACAACAUCUCGAAAGGGAUGCUAAUACCGCAUACGUCCUACGGGAGAAAGCAGGGGAUCACUUGUGACCUUGCGCUAAUAGAUGAGCCUAAGUCGGAUUAGCUAGUUGGUGGGGUAAAGGCCUACCAAGGCGACGAUCUGUAGCGGGUCUGAGAGGAUGAUCCGCCACACGGGGACUGAGACAAGGCCCAGACUCCUACGGGAGGCAGCAGUGGGGAAUAUUGGACAAUGGGGGGAACCCUGAUCCAGCCAUGCCGCGUGUGUGAAGAAGGCCUUAUGGUUGUAAAGCACUUUAAGCGAGGAGGAGGCUCUUUUGGUUAAUACCCAAGAUGAGUGGACGUUACUCGCAGAAUAAGCACCGGCUAACUCUGUGCCAGCCGCCGCUGUAA
rnacentral:rRNA from 1 species